GAGAAGCAAAGCCGCGAGGUAGAGCAAAUCUCGAAAAAACAUCUCAGUUCGGACUGCAGGCUGCAACUCGCCUGCACGAAGUCGGAAUUGCUAGUAAUCGUAGGUCAGCAUACUACGGUGAAUACGUUCCCGGGCCUUGUACACACCGCCCGUCAAACCAUGAGAGUUGGCAACACCCGAAGUCGGUAGUCUAACCGCAAGGAGGACGCCGCCGAAGGUGGGGUCGAUGAUUAGGGUUAAGUCGUAACAAGGUAUC
rnacentral:rRNA from 1 species